rnacentral:rRNA from 1 species
CCUACGGGACGCAGCAGUGGGGAAUAUUGGUCAAUGGCCGGAAGGCUGAACCAGUCAUGCCGCGUGAAGGUCAGUGCCCUAUGGGCGUUGAACUUCUUUUGUGCGGGAGCAAUAAUGGUCACGUGUGGCCAGACGAGAGUACCGUACGAAUAAGCAUCGGCUAACUCCGUGCCAGCAGCCGCGGUAAUACGUAGGGGGCAAGCGUUAUCCGGAUUUACUGGGUGUAAAGGGGGCGCAGACGGCGAUGCAAGCCAGGAGUGAAAGCCCGGGGCCCAACCCCGGGACUGCUCUUGGAACUGCG